rnacentral:rRNA from 1 species
CAGUCGUACCGACGAGAAAUCAACCUUUCGAGUGCGAACUUGUGGGCGUGCGUGAGUCUUUAACGGGCCCCGCUGUUUGCAAUGUUUGUCCUUUUGGGGUGUACUUUUCCGUAUGGUAGGCCAACGUCAGUUUCGAUCACCGUAAAAUGACCGGAGGAAUGUAGCUUCGAUCUCGUAUUGAAGUGUUAUAGCCUUUGG